CCCGGGACCUUGGUCCAGGCGCUGGUCUGCGUGGUGCUCGGGUGGAUAAGUCUGAUCUGAGCACCACACAGGCCGGGCGCCGGGACCAAGGGGGCUC